UUACUGUGGGGGGCCCAGGUUAGACUUGGCAAGGGGGGUGCAGAUUCUACUGUUUUCACUGUACCCCGCUUGCGACUGAGGCCCCCUUUUAAGAGUAACGGGUGCAACAGGUUUCGUGUCCCAUCUGCAAGCCGAACGCGAGCUACAGAUCUGGACACCUUUGCCACAGUUAGGGUUAAGUCUAUCGCCCCGCGGAUUGAUCACGGUCUCCGUCGUGUGCGCACUGCUGUUGUAUGUCUGAAUCCGUGUUUGGUGUACUGUAUGUUUCCUCGGUGGGCUCGCCUGCCAGUGAGGACCCCCUAAAACCCUUUGUUGUAGCUGUACUGUCUGAUCAACAAACAAACAAUUAAAACUUUCAACAACGGAUCUCUUGGUUCUGGCAUCGAUGAAGAACGCAGCGAAAUGCGAUAAGUAGUGUGAAUUGCAGAAUUCAGUGAAUCAUCGAAUCUUUGAACGCACAUUGCGCCCUUUGGUAUUCCUUAGGGCAUGCCUGUUCGAGCGUCAUUUAAACCCUCAAGCCCUGCUUGGUGUUGGGUGUCUGUCCUGCCUCUGGCAUGGACUCGCCUUGAAAACAUUGGCGGUUGUGUAUCGACUGGAAGCGCAGCAAAGGCGUCCCUUCCAGCCCGGUGCCCUCCCUCCAGGAAGCCAACCUCAAUCAUCUUGACCUCGGAUCAGGUAGGGAUACCCGCUGAACUUAAGCAUAUCAAUAAGCGGAGGAAAAGAAACCAACAGGGAUUGCCCUAGUAACGGCGAGUGAAGCGGCAACAGCUCAAAUUUGAAAUCUGGUCCUUUCAGGGCCCGAGUUGUAAUUUGUAGAGGGCGCUUUGGCGUUGGCAUAGGUCUAAGUUCCUUGGAACAGGGCGUCACAGAGGGUGAGAACCCCGUACGUGGCCGCUUGCCUUCGCCGUGUAAAGCCCCUUCGACGAGUCGAGUUGUUUGGGAAUGCAGCUCUAAUUGGGAGGUAAAUUUCUUCUAAAGCUAAAUACUGGCCAGAGACCGAUAGCGCACAAGUAGAGUGAUCGAAAGAUGAAAAGCACUUUGGAAAGAGAGUCAAAAAGCACGUGAAAUUGUUGAAAGGGAAGCGCUUGCAGCCAGACGUGCUCGUAGUUGCUCAUCCGGGCUCUCGCCCGGUGCACUCUUCUGCGAGCAGGCCAGCAUCAGUUCUGACGGUUGGAUAAAGACCCAUGUCAUGUACCUUCUCCUCGGGGAAGGCCUUAUAGGGUGGGUGACAUACAACCAGCUGGACUGAGUCCGCG
rnacentral:rRNA from 1 species